CCAUUCUCGGCCGUAAGUUCACGCAAAUUUGCGCUGCCAACGGAAGACGUUAUCGAUCGUGUGCGAGUCGCUUCAAUAUAUUGAAGAACCCAAGAGCCCUGCUGUUCGAUGUUCCUGUAGAUUUUUCUGACAGUGCCAGUUGUAGAGCCAUUCUUCACAAGUUAUUACAAGUAAACAUGAAGAAGGAAGCUUCCAUAGCAAGACAGUACUAAACCAGCUCCUCUUCAAAAUCUGUACCAAAAUUAUGUUGUGUGACCGGGUGCAAAGGAAAUUACCCGACGGGACCGAAAGUGCAAGUUUUUACAUUUCCAAAGGAAGAAAAAUUAUUAGAAAAAUGGAAACGGCCUAUCCCAAGGAAAAAUUUAACUAUCAGCAAAACAACAAAUGGACGCAGCAACUGCAGCAGGCCCCACAACGAGCUUCCGCAAUGACAAUGGAGGCUGCCCCGGGAUGGCCUGUUGCUGCUGCUCUCUCUCUUGGCCACCAGCUGCUGGUUGAGCUCAGCCAGCAUCUGGGGUGUGUAUGCUACAACAACAAGAAGAAGAAGAGUUGCCUCACGCUAUAAAAUCUGAACACAAACUACGAAAAUAUACUGCGAAAUCUGAUCACAAAC